CUUUCAUCAAAAAAAAAGAGUAAAUAGGCUGUAAUAUAUUAUCAAAAUGGAUGAAAUUUCAUAAAAGACAUAUGAAAGGCAAAUAAGUGAGUGUUGAUAUAAUGUCAAGGAUGUCAAAUGAACAAUCCUGAUAUAUUUAUAUUUGUAUCCAUAAAAUAUUAAAAGCAUAACCCUUGGGUGAAUCCUUUAGAAGAAUUAUAGAAGAUCAGGCAUAGAACUGAAAAGCAUGGAUGAGCUGGUACCUGAGUCUAGUGAUUACUGACAUAAAUGAAACCUUAUCUCCAACAAUGUAUUUAAAUAUGACAUCACAAAGAUAUCAUCUGAAGUCCAGUUACUAAGAGUAUGAGAUAUAGAGCUCAGAACUGGGUUGGGGGGAAAUUUGGGGACUAGAGUGGGGAAUAGAUGAAAAAUUCCUCUAAAAGAAAAUUAUUCUGAGUAGGGACCAAAAUCUCCACUGGAAUAAAGCCAUGAUGACCUUGGAAGGAGGAUUAUAGGCCAGGAAGGAAGCCUUGAGAAGCCAGGAUGAUUAGGAUGAGAGCCCAGAUGGGGCUGUCGAAUGAGAACUUUUGGGGAUUCUGCUAAGCUGUGAACCUAAUUACUUUCUACUCUUCAGAGAUUGAAGUGGUAUGGGGGAAAUUAUGUUCCCCAGAUGUUGAGAAAAGAAUGUUUAUAUAUUUGUACUUUCUAAACCUUUGAAUUAAA